CUCUUCUUGUAGAUUAAAUAUGAGGUAGGAUCUGCCCACUGAAUUAGUUGAAGGGCCGCGGUAUUUUGACCGUGCAAAGGUAGCAUAAUCAUUAGUUUUUUAAUUGAGGACUGGUAUGAAUGAUUGUACGAGGGGUAUUCUGUUUCUAUUAUAUUUGUUAAUUGAAGUUAAAUUUUGAGUUAAAAUGCUUAAAUUUUUUAGUGGGACGAGAAGACCCUAUAGAGUUUUAUUGAUAAUUAAUUAUUUAGUUUGAUUUUGUGUUAAUUGAUUAUUAAUUUGAUUGGGGUGAUUGGGAGAUAUUUUUAACUCUUUUAUUUGUUUAGUAUUUAUUUAUUAGUUUGUGAUCCAUUUUUAGUGAUUAGUAGAAAAAAUUACC
rnacentral:rRNA from 1 species